AGAUCAUUUCAAAGAAAGACUGGGAUUCUGAAACCAGGAGCUCUUAAGGCAGUGACUCAAAAUUCAAAAGCUCCAUAGUGGGCUAUAGUCACCGAAAACUUCUAUAUAUUUCCAUGGAAAUAUAUAG
rnacentral:snoRNA from 1 species